rnacentral:misc_RNA from 1 species
GAUGAAGAACGUAGCGAAAUGCGAUAAGUAAUGUGAAUUGCAGAAUUCAGUGAAUCAUCGAAUCUUUGAACGCACAUUGCGCCCCCCGGCAUUCCGGGGGGCAUGCCUGUUCGAGCGUCUCCAGGACGAAUCCUCGCGCGAGUGAACGCGCGGUCGUGGCGGAGGUGGCGUGCCCGAGCAGGGCGGCCACGGCGCUGGAAUCCAUGGGCGGACGCCUGCCGCGUGGCCGAGCGUGAUAUGACGCAUUGGCGCUCGUGCGCGGCGAGGCUGCCAGCCCUGGCCCGUCUGUCGGGCGGGGUAGAUCACCACGUGGGAACUCCUCGAAUCAGGUAGGGAUACCCGCUGAACUUAAGCAUAUCAAUAGCGGAGGA